rnacentral:rRNA from 1 species
CACGGGGGGAGCAAGCGUUGUUCGGAAUCACUGGGCGUAAAGGGUGUCUAGGCGGUCAGGUAAGUGAGAUGUGAAAUGCCCCGGCUUACCCGGGGACCUGCAUCUCAUACUGCCUGGCUUGAGUAUGGGGGAGGAUGAGGGAAUUCCUGGUGUAGCGGUGAAAUGCGUAGAUAUCAGGAGGAACACCGGUGGCGAAAGCGCUCAUCUGGCCCAAUACUGACGCUGAAGCACGAAAGCUAGGGGAGCAAACGGG